rnacentral:snRNA from 1 species
AUCGCUUCUCGGCCUUUUGGCUAAGAUCAAGUGUAGAAAAAUGGAGGGGUAUAUCUGACACUCUUUGCAGGAUGCAUGGGGGUUUUUUGUAUUUGUUCUGAGAGAAAUGGGAAAUUUUUUGGAUUUACAUUUUUAAAGAGCAUUCUGUUUAUAAAAAAAAAACAUAA